AUGAACGCUGGCGGCGUGCCUAACACAUGCAAGUCGCACGGAGUCCAGCCUUAGAGCCCUUCGGGUCACAGAGGGGAAGACUGAGUGGCGGACGGGUGAGUAACACGUGGGCAACCUGGCUCAUAGAGGGGGAUAACAGAGAGAAAUUUCUGCUAAUACCGCAUAAGCACACACUGCCGCAUGGCAGAGUGUGAAAAGAGAAUCGCUAUGAGAUGGACCCGCGUCUGAUUAGCCAGUUGGCAGGGUAAGAGCCUACCAAAGCGACGAUCAGUAGCCGAUUUGAGAGGAUGAACGGCCACAUUGGGACUGAGACACGGCCCAAACUCCUACGGGAGGCAGCAGUGGGGGAUAUUGCACAAUGGGGGGAACCCUGAUGCAGCGACGCCGCGUGAGUGAAGAAGUAUUUCGGUAUGUAAAGCUCUAUCAGCAGGGAAGAUAAUGACAGUACCUGAAUAAGAAGCCCCGGCUAACUACGUG
rnacentral:rRNA from 1 species